rnacentral:rRNA from 1 species
AAUAGAUACCAGGUAGUCCACGCCGUAAACGAUGAGUGCUAAGUGUUAGGGGGUUUCCGCCCCUUAGUGCUGCAGCUAACGCAUUAAGCACUCCGCCUGGGGAGUACGGUCGCAAGACUGAAACUCAAAGGAAUUGACGGGGGCCCGCACAAGCGGUGGAGCAUGUGGUUUAAUUCGAAGCAACGCGAAGAACCUUACCAGGUCUUGACAUCCCACUGACCGCUAUGGAGACAUAGUUUUCCCUUCGGGGACAGUGGUGACAGGUGGUGCAUGGUUGUCGUCAGCUCGUGUCGUGAGAUGUUGGGUUAAGUCCCGCAACGAGCGCAACCCUUGAUCUUAGUUGCCAUCAUUUAGUUGGGCACUCUAAGGUGACUGCCGGUGACAAACCGGAGGAAGGUGGGGAUGACGUCAAAUCAUCAUGCCCCUUAUGACCUGGGCUACACACGUGCUACAAUGGACGGUCAAACGGUUGCCAACCCACGAGGGGGAGCUAAUCCGAUAAAACCGUUCUCAGUUCGGAUUGUAGGCUGCAACUCGCCUAC